ACUAUAAACGGAAUGUAACGGCGAUUUCUUUAAUAGGUGUUUACGCAAGUAUGUUUCAGAAAGGAAUUUGUCAUGUGGAUUAAGGAAAGUUUAUCAACAUAAAAGUUUAUCUAUAUCAACAUAAAAGUUUAUCUAUAUCAACAUAAAAGUUUCAAGUUUUAGUUUUUUUUUUAAGUUGAUUAGAAAAAUAAAAGUUUUACAGCAAUCAGUUGUGUUUACAAUUUUUUAUCUAGUCCUAAUUCUUUAAAGUGGUUCUUUAGCAAAGACAUUGAUUGAGUGGCAUCUUAAAUAUAUUGACAAGUGCUUACAUACAUAGAUGAAGAAACAAUAAAAAAUGUGGAAUUUCCUGAAAAUGUGUUUUUGAUGAAGAACUGUAUGAGAAACUUUAUUAUAAUUAACUUAGAGUAAUUGGUACCUGUUUUAAAAAUGUAAAAUUAUCUGUUUUCUUUCCAUCGUUUUUGUGCAAAAAAGCAGAUGUUCCGAAAAUCUUGAAA